rnacentral:rRNA from 1 species
UUCUUCAAAAAAUUAACUAAAAAAGAUUAAUUAAUUAGAAGGAAUUCAGCAAAUUUAAUUGCUCCGCCUGUUUAUCAAAAACAUGGCUCUUUGCUUAAUAAAUAUAAAGAGUCGAGCCUGCCCAGUGAAUCUUUCAACGGCCGCGGUACUCUGACCGUGCAAAGGUAGCAUAAUCAUUUGCCUUAUAAUUGAAGGCUAGUAUGAAUGGUUUGACGAGAGCAAUACUGUCUCCUUUUUAUUUUCAAGAACUUAACUUUUAGGUGAAGAGGCCUAAAUUUUAUUGAAGGACAAGAAGACCCUGUCGAGCUUAAAAGAAACUAUAGAGGUUUAAUAUAUUUUUAGAUAAAUUUUCUAUUAAGCUUUUUAGUUGGGGCGACUAAGGAACAAAAAAAGCUUCUUUCUAACAAUAAACAAUCACGUUUAGAUCCGAUAGUAGCGAUUAAAGGAAUUAGUUACCGCAGGGAUAACAGCAUAAUCUCUCUUAAGAGACCUAAUCGAAAGAGGGGGUUGUGACCUCGAUGUUGGACUAGAAUAUCCUAAAGAUGCAG